CAUUCAGGAACUUACACUUCACACGGAUUUAUUAUUAAUAUUUGUGUUUGCCUAAUUUGCCUAACUCUCCUGUCAUCGCAAGCUCUGAUCUGCUCACAGCAGCUAGUAAACAGAGAGAGAGAGAGACAGAGAGAGAGAGAGAGCCUGUAAAUGGCUUGCGAUCGUUUAAGAAACUCCGGCGGAAUGUCCUGCGGCUGCUCGCGAGGUUUAAAGUUCCGCGCUUUGAUCCCGCCGCUGCUGGCGCCAAAAAACAACAUCACCGAGACUAAUAAUUACCCCGUUAAAACACUAAUCACCACUGAUUGAAUAUGUUCAGCAAUUACUGAAGCUGAUACUGUAGAGACACAUCGCGGUGUUUAUAUUUGAUUUUUUUGCGCGUUCUCUAUAGUAGAAGUUAGGGGGGGAAAUCCGGGUUUCUCCUUCCUGAUCUCAGGAUUUUUUGACAUGAAGAGAAAAAAAAACAGGCAAGCAGCAAAAGAAUGUGUCAAAAUAAAUGAAAUAUUGUAGUCACAAACAGUAUUGUCACUGCAGUUAUUUAUUGUUAAUUUGAUAACAUUUGAAAAGUUGGCUGCAUUACACAAUGCAGUAUCCUCCUUUAUCUUUCGCUGUUUUUGAUGCAAUACUCAACACAGAUACACAAACGCAACAGACACAACAGUCAAACUUCAGGAGAAACUUAAGCCCCGCCCCGCUCUGUUCUGAUUGGAUGACGCGCGUGUUAUUAGCUUACAGAGGAGUUAAACAGCAGCAUGUUCUAAGCAUCCGAUCUCUCACUCUAUACUAAAAACCAAGUGAAACUCGUGCAUGGCCCCAGUCAUCACCAUGACGUCUACUGGUUUUAAAGCUGAAGAUCAUUCCCGUGUGAUUUUAGGAGAUAAAGGAGAGAUGCAGACCAGCAUCGGUGUGGAGGAGGACGCAGAGAAACCGAAGAUUCUCCCGUUCAGCGUCGAGGCUCUGAUGGCAGAACGGAGACCGAGCUCCUCCGCCGGAGCGUCGCAUACUCCCGCGGAUCCGGAGCGGACCGGUGCUCGGUUGACGUUCUCUGUUGACGUUCUGAAAUUGUCGGAAAAGUCGGAGCAGAGCGCAUGGAUGCAUCACCUCUCUCCCCGGCGUCUCAGUCCUCCCGCGUGUCCUCUGAGAAAACACAAAACCAACCGAAAGCCUCGGACCCCGUUCAGCACGGCGCAGCUGCUGGCGCUGGAGCGGAAGUUCCGUCAGAAACAGUACCUGUCCAUCGCAGAACGGGCCGAGUUCUCCAGCUCGCUGAACCUGACCGAGACUCAGGUGAAGAUCUGGUUCCAGAACAGAAGAGCUAAAGCCAAGCGGCUCCAGGAGGCCGAACUCGAGAAGUUAAAAAUGGCCACUAAACCGAUGCUUCCUCCCGCCUUCGGGAUUUCAUUCCCAGUCGGCGCUCACGUUCCGGCUUCAUACACCGGCUCGCAUCCGUUUCACAGACACUCGGUGAGCGUGACUCCGGUGGGACUCUACACACACAUGGGAUAUAGCAUGUACCAUUUAGCUUAAAGGACGACCCAGUGCAUCUGAUGUGACUUUCUCUCCAUCUUCAGCAAUUCUGUUCCGAUAAAAGCGGACAUGGUUUACUCUAAUGGUGGCAUUUCACACGGCCUGCACUUUCACAGAGAGUUAUGAAAACGGAUUUGGUCAAAGCUGUAAUUCCCGAGUGCCAGUGAAUUCAGGAAGAGAACAGGCAAUUUGUUCCAUCUUCUCAGGAAACAGGACAAGGUUACCAAAUGUUCCAGGCAUUGUUUCCAGAUCUGCAUGCUCAGUCAAAUCUGGAGCUCUCCAGUACAAUGCCUGCCACGAAAAUAAAGCCAAAUCUCUGUGUGAAGGAUGGCUGAUUUAUAUCUCUCUCAUGACAGUCCGUUCUGUAACUAAUUUAACGAGUCGCUCCACACACAGCGACAGACGAAUGCGAAUCCACUGCCAAACCGAGUCGAGAAGUAGGUCAUGUUUGUCUCCAGGUGCUACAAGAAACAUCACUGCUGCACACAACCAUCUCAGACUGUUUCCAUAAGAAGAGGACCAGUAUAAAAACACUCAACAUUCACUACAAAAAUAAUGGAGUACUUCUUUAAUUCAAUGUUGCUUGCUUACUGUGUGAAAUUUGCUAGCAAUCUGUGAAAAUUGUUUCUAGACCAACUUUAUUUCAGUGUAAAAAAAAAUCACACAAACUCGUAUGUAUUUUAUUAAUAAAAUAUUUUACUAUUUCA